AGCAGCCGCGGUAAUUCCAGCUCCAAUAGCGUAUAUUAAAGUUGUUGCAGUUAAAAAGCUCGUAGUUGAAUUUCGGGAUCAAUAUGUUGGUCGUGCCUCGGUACGUACUAGCAUAUUGGUUUCUCCUUUCUGAAGAACCAUGAUGUCAUUUAUUUGGUGUCGUGGGGAAUCAGGACUGUUACUUUGAAAAAAUUAGAGUGUUUAAAGCAGGCUCACGCUUGAAUACAUUAGCAUGGAAUAAUGAAAUAGGACGUUUGAUUCUAUUUUGUUGGUUUCUAGGAUCGACGUAAUGAUUAAUAGGGAUAGUUGGGGGCAUUAGUAUUCAAUUGUCAGAGGUGAAAUUCUUGGAUUUAUUGAAGACUAACUACUGCGAAAGCAUUUGCCAAGGAUGUUUUCAUUAAUCAAGAACGAAAGUUAGGGGAUCGAAGACGAUCAGAUACCGUCGUAGUC
rnacentral:rRNA from 1 species